rnacentral:rRNA from 1 species
AGAGUUUGAUCCUGGCUCAGGACGAACGCUGGCGGCGUGCUUAACACAUGCAAGUCGAACGAUGAUCCGGUGCUUGCACCGGGGAUUAGUGGCGAACGGGUGAGUAACACGUGAGUAACCUGCCCUUGACUCUGGGAUAAGCCUGGGAAACCGGGUCUAAUACCGGAUAUGACUUCCCGCCGCAUGGUGGGGGGUGGAAAGAUUUUUUGGUUUUGGAUGGACUCGCGGCCUAUCAGCUUGUUGGUGGGGUAAUGGCCUACCAAGGCGACGACGGGUAGCCGGCCUGAGAGGGUGACCGGCCACACUGGGACUGAGACACGGCCCAGACUCCUACGGGAGGCAGCAGUGGGGAAUAUUGCACAAUGGGCGCAAGCCUGAUGCAGCGACGCCGCGUGAGGGAUGACGGCCUUCGGGUUGUAAACCUCUUUCAGCAGGGAAGAAGCGAAAGUGACGGUACCUGCAGAAGAAGCGCCGGCUAACUACGUGCCAGCAGCCGCGGUAAUACGUAGGGCGCAAGCGUUGUCCGGAAUUAUUGGGCGUAAAGAGCUCGUAGCGGUUUGUCGCGUCUGCUGUGAAAGCCCGGGGCUCAACCCCGGGUCUGCAGUGGGUACGGGCAGACUGGAGUGCAGUAGGGAGACUGGAAUUCCUGGUGUAGCGGUGAAAUGCGCAGAUAUCAGGAGGAACACUGAUGGCGAAGGCAGGUCUCUGGGCUGUAACUGACGCUGAGGAGCGAAAGCAUGGGGAGCGAACAGGAUUAGAUACCCUGGUAGUCCAUGCCGUAAACGUUGGGCACUAGGUGUGGGGGACAUUCCACGUUUUCCGCGCCGUAGCUAACGCAUUAAGUGCCCCGCCUGGGGAGUACGGCCGCAAGGCUAAAGCUCAAAGGAAUUGACGGGGGCCCGCACAAGCGGCGGAGCAUGCGGAUUAAUUCGAUGCAACGCGAAGAACCUUACCAAGGCUC